rnacentral:rRNA from 1 species
ACGAAGGCCUUCGGGUUGUAAACCCCUGUCAGAGGGAAAGAAGGGUGUCGGCGCGAUAACCGCCGGCACUUGACGGUACCUUCAGAGGAAGCCCCGGCCAACUCUGUGCCAGCAGCCGCGGUAAGACAGAGGGGGCAAGCGUUGCUCGGAAUCACUGGGCGUAAAGGGCGCGUAGGCGGGAUGGCAAGUCAGUCGUGAAAUCUCUCGGCUCAACCGAGAAACGUCGGCUGAUACUGCCGUUCUUGAGGGAUGCAGAGGAGACUGGAAUUCCCGGUGUAGCGGUGAAAUGUGUAGAGAUCGGGAGGAACACUGGUGGCGAAGGCGGGUCUCUGGGCAUCUCCUGACGCUGAGGCGCGAAAGCGUGGGGAGCAAACGGGAUUAGAUACCCCGGUAGUCCACGCUGUAAACGAUGACGACUAGGUGUGGGGUGGUUCAGUCCAUUCCGUGCCGCAGCUAACGCAUUAAGUCGUCCGCCUGGGGAGUACGGCCGCAAGGUUG